AAAUCCCACGGCUCAACCGUGGGGCUUGCUGGGGAUACUGCGGGCCUUGGGACCGGGAGAGGCGGAGGGUACUCCUGGGGUAGGGGUGAAAUCCUAUAAUCCCAGGAGGACCGCCAGUGGCGAAGGCGCUCCGCUGGAACGGGUCCGACGGUGAGGGACGAAGGCCAGGGGAGCGAACCGGAUUAGAUACCCGGGUAGUCCUGGCUGUAAAGGAUGCGGGCUAGGUGUCGGGCGAGCUUCGAGCUCGCUCGGUGCCGAAGGGAAGCCGUUAAGCCCGCCGCCUGGGGAGUACGGCCGCAAGGCUGAAACUUAAAGGAAUUGGCGGGGGAGCACUACAAGGGGUGGAGCGUGCGGUUUAAUUGGAUUCAACGCCGGGAACCUCACCGGGGGCGACGGCAGGAUGAAGGCCAGGCUGAAGGUCUUGCCGGACACGCCGAGAGGAGGUGCAUGGCCGCCGUCAGCUCGUACCGUGAGGCGUCCACUUAAGUGUGGUAACGAGCGAGACCCGCGCCCCCAGUUGCCAGUCCUCCCCGCUGGGGAGGAGGCACUCUGGGGGGACCGCCGGCGAUAAGCCGGAGGAAGGAGCGGGCGACGGUAGGUCAGUAUGCCCCGAAACCCCCGGGCUACACGCGCGCUACAAUGAGCGGGACAAUGGGAUCCGACCCCGAAAGGGGAAGGUAAUCCCCUAAACCCGCUCCCAGUUCGGAUCGCGGGCUGCAACUCGCCCGCGUGAAGCUGGAAUCCCUAGUACCCGCGUGUCAUCAUCGCGCGGCGAAUACGUCCCUGCUCCUUGCACACACCGCCCGUCACUCCACCCGAGCGGGGUCUGGAUGAGGCCUGAUCUCCCUUCGGGGAGGCCGGGUCGAGUCUGGGCUCCGUGAGGGGGGAGAAGUCGUAACAAGGUAGCCGUAGGGGAACCUACGGCUCGAUCACCUCCU
rnacentral:rRNA from 1 species